GGGGAUUGUAGUCCUGUAUUCGAGUCUAUUUUUUACAUAGUUUAAAUUCAGCCUCAGAUACUUGCUAGAUGUGUGAUUCAAGGCAAGUAAUUUUAUCGCUGUCUGCCUCAGUUUCCUCAACUGAAAAAAUGAGUUCAUAAUAGGACCUAACUCCCAGGGAUUUGGGGAGGAUCAAAUUCAAAUGAGACUAUUUCUAAAGCACUGAAUGCAAUAUCUAGAUAAAUUAGCUGUUAAAUAAAUACUUGUUUCCUUCCUUCUGGAGGCACUCUACAUGACACUUUCUGUAGGAAAAGAUGCACAAGAUCCCUAGUAAGCUGCAAAUAGGAAUUUGUGAAUAAUUCAAUUCAAGAAACAUUUAUUAAGUACCUACCCUGUCAAAGCACUGUGCUAGAUGUAAAGCAAGACAAAAUAAUCCAAUCCAACUUCUAACUAGAUAAGAGAAAACAAAUUACAAUAGCAGGGGGAAAUACAGCAGUAGAAAAAAUAAGACAAGAGUCAGCUUCUAUUCUGAUUAUUUUUAAUGAUCCUGGACCUUUUUGUCAAUCUAGUAAAGCCUGGGAACCCUGUCUGAGAAUAACAUAUUUAAAAGCAUAAAAUAAAACACACACCAUUAAAAUUAAAAACAAUUAUAGUUAAUUAAUAGUCAAUUAAAGAAUGACUGGACAAAUUGUAGUAUAUGAAUGUGAUAGAAUACUAUUUUGCUAUGAGAAAAGACAAGGGAGAAGGUUUCAGAAAACUUGGGAAGAUUUAUAUGAAUUGAUGCCACAUGAAGCAAGAAGAACCAGGCAAACAUUGUAUAUAGUAACAAUAAUACUAUAAUGCUGAUACAACUGUGAGAGACUUAGGUUUGCCCAUUGAGACAACGAACCAAGACAAUCCCAAAAGACUCAUGAUGAAAAAAAUGCUAUCUACCUUCCAAGAGAAAACUGAUGAAUUCUGAAUGCAGACUGAAUAAUACUUUUUUUAAAACUUUAUUUUUCUUCUCUUUUUUUCCAACAUGGCUAAAAUGAAAAUAUGCUUUGCACAUUUUCACAUGUAUAAUUGAUAUCAUAUUACUUGCCUUCUCAAUGAGUAGAGGGGAGAAAUUUUAGAAGUCAAUAUUUUAAAAAUUGAAUUUAAAAACUCAAAUAAAUCUAUGGAUCUCAGAUAAGAAUCCCUGUUCCAUCUAUAUAUUACUGCUAAUGAGCUGUGUGAGCUUUGCUUAUCAUGAUCUUCAAUUUUCUCACCUGAGAAAUGAGGGGAUGAAAUAGAUGAUCUCUAUGUUCCCCUUCUAGCUCAAGUAUUCUAGGGCUCUGCAUACUUGACAACACUCUGCACAUGACAGUGAUACUACCUCUCUGUUUCAGACACCUUAUGGAGUAUCAAGGAAAGAGAUGUAAUCUGACAUGAAAAGUCCUGAGUUCAGAUCCUAAUUUGGCCAAAUCACUAUCACUAGGAGCUUCCUUCUAGCUUUUUCCUUGUGUGGCCAAAACAAUAAUACCCUCACUGUCAACUUCACAGGUUUGUUACAAGGACAACACUUUAAAAGCCAUAAAGUUCAAUGAAAAUAUAAUCUUAGAUUUUGGGAGUAUGAUUAAAAUGUUUAAGCCACUUCUUUUCCUUUUCAAAGAAGACACAAUCAAGUCAUCUCCUUCUUAGCAUCAUAGAGGCAUCUAGGUAAUGUAGUAGGUAGAGCAUAGGACUAAAGUCAGAAAGAUCUGAAUUCAAAUCCUGCCUCAGAUACUUCCUAGCUGUGUGAACCUAAGCAAGUCACCUUCACCACAUGUAAAAAAUGAGGAUAAUGAUAGCACCUACCUCCUAAAGUUGUUGGGAGAAUCAAAUUGAGAUAUUUGUAAAGUGCUUAGCUUAAUGCCUGCUAUAUAACAAGAGCUUAAUAAAAGCUUGUUAACUCACAUAGUGAUUGAUGAUUAAUCUCAACUAUAUCUAUCUCAUGUUCUCCUGUUUUUUUUAUGCCUAACACCAUGUUGGCAAACCUAUGGCAUGUAUGCUGGGUGUGGGCUACUCCCUUUCCCUUCUCCACUGCAGCUGAGGACUGUGUAAUUGGAAAUCUUGUGCCUUUAAACUACAAUUCCCAGGAAUCCACUGACUUCCCGUCAUUAUAUGAUGACAUAGAAGAUAAAUUGGGGGGAGUUCCUUCUCUAGGCCUCUUUCCUUCCUGGGUCAGGACAUUGGUGGAGUGAGCUGUUUGAGCAGAUCCUCCCCUGGCAAGGUCAAUAUCAAUAUCCCCAGAUGAUAAAGCAAUGAAGAAAAGAAGACUCCGGGAGGAUGCUUAGUACAAGAAGGGAGCAGGAGUUAAAAGUCUGCAGUUUUAACUUCCAACUCAGUCACUUAUUAACUUUGUGACCUUGAACACGUCACUUAGGUUUCUUCAUCUGUAAAAUGAGAGGGUUAGAUUAGAUCAGUGAUUUCCACACAGUGAGUGGGCAGAGGCCCUGGAGUUAUUACUGAAAGGGCCCUCUGAAUCCCAAUAUGCAGCAAACACUGUCAUUUUUUAAAUCUUUAUUUAGCUCUAAUGAAAUGUAUCGGACAACUAAGUAAAACAAUUAAAGCCAAUAUGCCUUCUGUAGCCUGAAUAAAUGUCUUAAAUAUAGAUGGGUUAAUAUUUUUUUAAAUUUAUGGACAUCCUUCUAUAAUUAAUAAAAUAAAAAUUCAAUUUAA